rnacentral:tRNA from 1 species
GUGCAGCUCAGUGGUAGAGUGCUUGUCUGUCAUGCAUGAGGCCCUGGGUUCAGCCCCCAGCAC